ensembl:lncRNA
UGCACAAGCAUAAUUCCUCUGUAUUUGCUUGACAUUGUUUUUUCUUGAGGAAGACAGGAGUGAAAUAGGAAUGGUGUACAAUAGAAUCCUACUUCUAAUGUAGGAAUUCUUGAAGUUCCAAUGCUCUUGUAGUUUUUUGGGUGGUUUUUUUGGAGGUGGUUUUUUUGUUGCUGUUUGUUUUCAUUAUUUUCAUUAAGAUGUUUGUAGAUGGGAGAAAUAAAAGCAAUAUGUGACUUAGACUCAAGGCAGCUUUGAGAGUUGUGUGUUUCUGGGGUGGGGAUGGGUUGUUUUCUGCUUUAUUGCUCUGGAAUCUCUAAGAGUAUUUGUUUUGAGAUUUUUUUUAUUGGUGUUUUUUUUUAUAAGUAGGGGAUUCAUAUGACUUAAACCAUUUCCACCAUUAUUGAUAUUAAAGAGGUGGGUUUUUUGUACCACAGUGAGGGAGAUGUAGGAGUGUGGAAGGAAGCAAUUUUGACUUUUUUGAGCUGUUCUUCAUAGGUUGUGAUUGGAGUGAUGGUGUGGAACUCUGUGUUCUGAGGGCAAGCAUGUGGAGUUGUUCUAUCACUAAACAUCAUGUGUGAGAAUAGAUUGUGAUACUUAGUGAUUCUUAUUCUCUCAGCUGAUGACUGGUUUCAGGAACAUGCAGAGAUCUUUCUCACUAGAUGUUGCAACAAAGACAGUUAUUAAACUUUAUUUGCAUUCCUGGUUAGUUACUGUGUGGAUCUUUUCUAGGUGGUGUAAAAGGGAGACUUCCUUUUCUUGCGGUCAGUGAUAUUUUUAUUUCCUUCUCUGUCCUUAAAAACAGUCUGAUCCAAAAUUUUGGACUUCUGAAGUCCAGCUUUAGCAGUGGUAUCUUUUGCUACUUCUGCUGUUUCAGAUCCAUUCUCAGAACGUUAAAAUGGGUAAGGGACAGGAUAGUAGCAGAGCUUCGUGAGUGUUUAUCAGUUUUGCUUUGUAUGUGGAAAAAAAAAAAAAAUGUACGUAUAUUGCUUAAGGGCUCAGAGGAAAUAUUGUGCUGCUUUGUCGUGAGGUCUUAACAGGAUUUGCUAUGAAGUUGUGCAGAUAUGAAAUUCCACAGAAUUAUUUGGACUUCUGUGAGGAAUGCAGCUUCCAUUAACGGCUGUUUGUUUCCUCCACAUGUGGUUGCGGAAGAGCAAUGGUACAUUGGUGUGUUAGGUUGGCAGCCAUUGAGAUCCUCUCCAGGUUUGCAACUGAGGGUUCUCACUUGUGAUCUACCUCUGGUCAGAGAGUGAAGUAGUCUCAGGAAGGGGACUAUCUGUGAAACGUGAGUGGGGUAAUUUUUGCAUGAAAAGCAGCACUACACAUCUGAAGCCUGUGUUCAGGACUGUUUUUGUUUUGGGUUUGGUUUUUAUGUAAUUAAAGAGUUGUGGGUGUGGAAGAGUUAGAGUGAGGGUUGAUUUUUAUGGUUAGCUGUUUUAUUUCAUUAGUCAAAUGUUAGAUCAUGAGCUCUGGACUUGCUGAAUGCUGACUGAAUAUGGCAGUCCCUUUUGGGGUGGAAGCCACCAUUCUCUUCUUAGCAGUACUGAUGCUGCUUAUUCAGCAUCAGUAUGUAAGUCCUAUCAUCAUGUGCAAGUCCUCAGUGGGCAUGAAGUGCUCAGGGCUAUUGUAGUUUUUUGUAAUACGGAGAAUGGGAGAGGCUUUACUGAAACCGGUUAUAUAUCAUUUUCUUCAAAAAGUGGGAGAACGUGUUGCGGUGUGCUUAUAUUAAGCCCUACCCAAGCUCAAAAAGAAGAGUGCGAGUAGCAUAAAAUAAUCACUUUGAAAGUUCAAACGUGCCAUGAAGCUUAACUUUAUCUGACAUCCUCACGUGUUGAAUCAAAAAACAAUGCUAAGACUGGUCUGUAUUAUUUGUUCCAUUUUCCUUCGAAUCACAGGAAAAAUAACAGCUGACAGUGCAGCGCUGCAUGGCCCAGUGCUGUUGCUUCCCUGUCUGGAAGGGGCCAGAGGGAAAACUUGCAUCUGUUGGUAUGAAGAUUGCAUUACAUACCCCAGCUUCUGCUUGUCUUGAUUAAGGUGUGUGGGUUGUGGACUUUCUAAGCAGUUCAGCUCUGUGCUGUGCUGAAGUAGCGCGGGUCUUACACCACACUUACAAACCAUGCAGUUGUGCUAAAUCAUGGUAAAAGCUCACAAUAAACUGUAGGUUCCCAGAAACAAAAAAAUGGUGCUGGAAAGAUUUUUUUUCCUUCUUUUAAAUUAAAAUUUAGGUACGGAUAAAUCUUGGUUUUCAAGCUUUUAUGGUACUAUCAUUCAAACAUAGUCUUAAGUUGUCCGGAAUUGCAGAAUGUAUGAGGAAGGAUAAGGAAACGGUCUCAGCUGCUAAUUGUAAAAUAUUUAAUGGUGAAAGUAAAGAGCAAACUGUGUAGGUAUAUAUUCUAUCAUAUGCACCUGCCAGCUUCUCAAAUCUCAUUUUGCUGUGAAUAUGAAAAAGUGGAAUAAAACAUGGUUGAGUAUUUAAUGACUUAAGCUAUGUAGAACACUUGCACAGAUUGACCUUGCUUUUCCUCUUUCAUUUUGGUACGAAGCUGUGAGUGUAAUAAUGAAACUUUACACAGCCAAAAAAUGAAAAGAAAAUAAAAGUUCUUUAUAUUGUUUAUGGUUUGUUGGCCUGAUUCUUCUUUGGAAUAGAAAGAUUCUUUCACAGGGUUCAGUAGAACAUGACGUUCCCUUUGUGUCCGGAUGAAGUCAGCCAGGCCGUCCUGGAGCUGUAUA